UACGAGAGGCGCAAACGUUUAUUCGGAUUUACUGGGCUUAAAGAGUUCGUAGGCGGCGCAGAAAGUAGGGUGUGAAAGCCCUCGGCUCAACCGAGGAAUUGCGCUCUAAACUACUGUGCUUGAGGAAGCUAGAGGUGAGCGGAACUGAUGGUGGAGCGGUGAAAUGCGUUGAUAUCAUCAGGAACACCGGGUGGCGAAGGCGGGGUCUCUGGGCC
rnacentral:rRNA from 1 species